UUGAAGGUUGGGUAACACUAACUGGAGGACCGAACCGACUAAUGUUGAAAAAUUAGCGGAUGACUUGUGGCUGGGGGUGAAAGGCCAAUCAAACCGGGAGAUAGCUGGUUCUCCCCGAAAGCUAUUUAGGUAGCGCCUCGUGAAUUCAUCUCCGGGGGUAGAGCACUGUUUCGGCAAGGGGGUCAUCCCGACUUACCAACCCGAUGCAAACUGCGAAUACCGGAGAAUGUUAUCACGGGAGACACACGGCGGGUGCUAACGUCCGUCGUGAAGAGGGAAACAACCCAGACCGCCAGCUAAGGUCCCAAAGUCAUGGUUAAGUGGGAAACGAUGUGGGAAGGCCCAGACAGCCAGGAUGUUGGCUUAGAAGCAGCCAUCAUUUAAAGAAAGCGUAAUAGCUCACUGGUCGAGUCGGCCUGCGCGGAAGAUGUAACGGGGCUAAACCAUGCACCGAAGCUGCGGCAGCGACGCUUAUGCGUUGUUGGGUAGGGGAGCGUUCUGUAAGCCUGCGAAGGUGUGCUGUGAGGCAUGCUGGAGGUAUCAGAAGUGCGAAUGCUGACAUAAGUAACGAUAAAGCGGGUGAAAAGCCCGCUCGCCGGAAGACCAAGGGUUCCU
rnacentral:rRNA from 1 species